UUCAGGUGCCUCUGUCGGCAAGACAGAGGUUAAACGGGAAGACUGGUGCGUGUAACAACAAACCCAGCGCUGCCCCCGCAACGGUGAUCGACCAGGUAUUGAUACAACGCCACUGUGCUAUGCAUGGGAAGGCAUCAACACCGGAAGCCCUCAGAAUGUCAGGGUUUCAGUCGUCAGCCCGGAUACCGGCCUGUGAAGAUUA
rnacentral:ncRNA from 1 species